rnacentral:lncRNA from 1 species
AAUUAUCUAAAUUAGUAUAUAUCAAUAAAUAUUAAUAACUACCUAAGAUUUCAAUCGUAUGUGCGUAUAUUACGAAAUCACAACAAGAAAUCUCCAAUACCGAACAAAAUUCUCAAUCAUAUCUUAACUCUCCUAAUUUAUUCCUUUACGAGUAGUAUAUUUGUUAAGUAAAUAUUAACCAUUUAAUAUCGAUCCUUUUAGAUGCUAAAGAUGGAACGAAUAUGCCGUAAUACCAAACCCUAAUUGUGCGUAUCUAAGUUCUACUAUAUAAACAAUGCUAACCUAACCUUAUACUCUGUCCACUUUCCCUACUUUACAAACUUAAUCGAAAUGGCUUCGAACACCGUAAUCACUGAUUUGCUUAGCAUCAAACCUUACAAAACUGGGUGGCGUAUUCAAGUGAAGAUUGUCCACUCUUGGAAGCAAAAUAGAGACUACUCUGGCGAUACCCUCGAAAUGGUGUUAGCA